GGGCGUUUCGGGAUUAACUCCAACCCCUGUGACAUACCACUUGUUGCCUCGGCGGAUCAGCCCGCUCCCGGUAAAACGGGACGGCCCGCCAGAGGACCCCUAAACUCUGUUUCUAUAUGUAACUUCUGAGUAAAACCAUAAAUAAAUCAAAACUUUCAACAACGGAUCUCUUGGUUCUGGCAUCGAUGAAGAACGCAGCAAAAUGCGAUAAGUAAUGUGAAUUGCAGAAUUCAGUGAAUCAUCGAAUCUUUGAACGCACAUUGCGCCCGCCAGUAUUCUGGCGGGCAUGCCUGUUCGAGCGUCAUUUCAACCCUCAAGCACAGCUUGGUGUUGGGACUCGCGUUAAUUCGCGUUCCUCAAAUUGAUUGGCGGUCACGUCGAGCUUCCAUAGCGUAGUAGUAAAACCCUCGUUACUGGUAAUCGUCGCGGCCACGCCGUUAAACCCCAACUUCUGAAUGUUGACCUCGGAUCAGGUAGGAAUACCCGCUGAACUUAAGCAUAUCAAAAGCCGGAGGAA
rnacentral:rRNA from 1 species